UACGAAGGGGGCUAGCGUUGCUCGGAAUCACUGGGCGUAAAGCGCACGUAGGCGGGUCUUUAAGUCAGGGGUGAAAUCCUGGAGCUCAACUCCAGAACUGCCUUUGAUACUGAGGAUCUCGAGUCCGGGAGAGGUGAGUGGAACUCCGAGUGUAGAGGUGAAAUUCGUAGAUAUGACAUAGAACACCGAUAGCGAAGGCAGCUUACUACAGGAUGAUUGACGCUGAGGCACGAAAGCGUGGGGAGCAAACAGG
rnacentral:rRNA from 1 species